UCUGGAGGCUGACGCUGAUUCCCUGAUCGUGAGCAGCUCACGCCUGGAGCUGCAGCGCGGUCCAGCUGCCAGGGACACACUGCCCUCUCUUGGAGAUCCCACUCAGAAGCCAGGCUCCAAAAGCAGCCCUGUGGAAGGAUGCUGAAGACCAAAGCGCUGUUGGCAUCUCCCAAAAACCAAAUUUCUGCCCAAGAGAAAAGUCAGGGACAACAAGCAACGCUGCCUGAUGUAUUGCUUUGAAGAAAGAAGAGCGAAUGUCUGGGGGAAGAGCUGCGGUUAAGUACGAAGGGAGCGCAGGAACGGAGCGCACAAAAGAGAUGCGCACAAUACAUCUCCUCUGUUGGUUGACAACCCUCUGCUAUUUCGGGAAUGCUCAUCCGCAGGUGGAAUUGGAUUUGUGCUCCCAUGACUGACAACACAACUCACUCGACUCCGCUCCAUCCUGGCCUGUGGCAGCUGCUGCUAUUUUGAGCUCCGUGCCGUUCCAGCGCUGCCGAACGGUAUUGUUCCAAAGGCGAGAAUGUUUCCCUAACAUGAGAUUUUUCCCAUUUUUAACCGAAAUCAGGGGGUUUUAAGAACUUUCGCAAGCGGGGUGCAGAACCCUCGGCAGCAAAGCCAGGCUCGACCUGCACGAGUGGGCUUUUGGAAGCAAGCCCCAGUGCUGCUGAGACCAUCACCACAAAACGAGACGCAGCCCUGCAGCCCGCUGGAACGGGCUGAGCACCCCGACCUGCGCCGUCACCACGGUCCUUCGGCAACGAGCAGGAAAGCUUGCGGCGUCCCCUCCGUCCUGACAAGGGCCUUGCCUUCUGGCAGCAGGCUGAUAACGGAGUCCUUCAGAAGGCACCGCCGCCGCCAGCCUGCGCUGGACCCGUCCCCAGAAGCAUCCGUGAACGAAGGAGAGAGAAAAACACGAUGCAACACUGAGCGGAUAACACGCU